rnacentral:RNase_P_RNA from 1 species
GGCAGAGGGAGCCCGGCCUCCGCUACCGGGGCGACCCGGAAGUGAGGAAAGUCCCCCCACCGUCCGGGCGGGCGACCGGACGCAAGUCCGGAGCGGGAGACCGCUGGCUCUGGAACAGAAACGAGACCGCUCCACGCGACCGAUGAGGCGCGCGAAACGACCCGCGAGGGGAGCGAGCUAACCCGCCGAGGGCUGCGUGGUCGGCGAAGCCGGCCACGGGAUGUGCGAGCGCUCCGCGGCCGCCGAGCCGCCGACCGUGGAGAACGGAUGGAACGGCGCAACCUCGCCGGUGCAAGCCCGUCGCACCAAGGUAGCCCGGACACGCGACGGGUGCUCAGCCGAAUGCCGGGCCGAACAGAAGGGGGCUUACUCCCCUCAGCC